GUCGAUAUAUCGGUACUUUGAUAGUAGUUUUCCCCCGUAAACGUCAUUUCAUCCUACCAUGUAUUGUAGGAAAAGGGAGACACAAUAUAAAGUGGAAAGGAAGGGGGCAUAUAAACCAUAGGUCGAAUACUAACAGACAAGGCCAUACCCAAAAAGAAAAACGACAAACGGACAAACAAAUAAAAAAAAAACCUUAACCCACUCACAAGUAAAGAUUUAGUAAAACCAUUCCAGCCAAACCGAAGUGACUUCAGAUGAUCCGGAAGAACAAACAUAUCCUAGGCAUCUGGUACAAAAGCAACAAAAAAAUAAAAUCAAAAUACAAAACAAAACAAAACAAAAAUAAUGUUCAAAAUUUAAGCAAAAGCAAAUCGAAC
rnacentral:lncRNA from 1 species